CACAGACCUCCAUCCCAGACAUGUCCUUAACCUUGGCAAAAUAAACUUCCAAAUUGAUUGAGACCCAUCUCAGGACUUUGAAAAUGUCAACCUACUCCCUCCUGACCUGUAUGGUUUCCAUUGAGAAUACCAAAUGAAUUGGAGCUCCUUUAGGUUAUUUGCUAAUUUUCUCUUGCUGCUUUUAGGAUCUUCUCUUUAUCGUUGUCCUUUGAGAGUUUGAUUAUAUCUUUUGAGGUAGUCUUAUUUGGAUCAUACCAAAAAUCAGUAGCAUUUCUAUAUGCCAACAGUGAAUAAUCUGAAAAAAAAAUAAAAGGGUAAUCCCAUUUAUAAUAACCAUGAAUAAAACUAAAUACCUUGGAAAUAAACUUAACCAAAGAAGUGAAAGAUCUUUCUAUAAUGAAAUCUAUAAAAAACUGAUGAAAGAAAUUGAGGAGGACACCAAACAUGGAAAAAUAUUCCAUGUUCAUGGAUUAGAAGAUUCAAUAUUGUUAAAAUGUUCGUACUACCCAAAGCAAUCUACAGAUUCAAUGUAAUCCCUAUCAAAAUACCAAUGUCAUUCUUCACAGAAAUGGAAAAAACAAUCCUAAAAUUUAUGUAGAACCACAAAAGAACCAGAAUAGCUAAAGCUGUCCUAAGCAAAAGGAACAAAACUGGAGGUAUCACAUUACCUGACUUCAAAUUAUACUACAGAACUAUAGUAACCUAAACAACAUGGUACUGGCAUAACAAACACAUAGACCAAUGGAACAGAAUAGAGAACCCAGAAACAAACCAAGACAUCUAGAGUGAACUCAUUUUCAACGAAUGUGCCAAGAACCUACACUGGGGAAAUACAGUCUCGUCAAUAAAUGGUACUGGGAAACCUGAAUAUACAUAUGUGGAAGAAUGUAACUAGACCCUUAUCUCUUUCCAUAUACAAAAAUCAAAUCAAAAUGAAUUAAAGAUUUAAAUAUAAGACCUCAUACUAUGAAACAACUGUAAGAAAACAUUGGAGAAACUCUCUAGGACAUUUGUCUGGGCAACAAUUUAUCGAGUAAUAUCACAUAAGAACAGGCAACCAAAGCAAAAAUGGACAAAUGGAAUCACAUAAAUUUAAAAAGCUUCUGUGCAGCAAAGGAAACAACAAAGUGAAAAGAUAACCCACAGAAUAGGAGAAAAUAUUUGCAAACUACUCAUCUGACAAGGUAUUAAUAACCAGAAUAUUUAAGGAACUCAAACAACUCUAUAAGAAAAAACUAAUAAUCCAGUUAAAAAUGGGCAGAAGAUUUGAACAGACAUUUCUCAAAAGAAGAUACACAAAUGACAAACAGGCAUAUGAAACAGUGCUCAACAUCAUUGAUCAUCACAGAAAUGCAAAUCAAAACUGCAAUGAGAUGUCAUCUCACCCCAGUUAAAAUAGCUUAUAUCCAAAAGAUAGGCAACAGCAAAUGCUGGCAAGGACGUGGAAAAAAGGAAACCCUCAUACACCGUUGGUAGGAAUGUAAAUUAGUACAACCACUGUGGAAAACAGUUUGGAGGUUUCUCGAAAAACUGUAAAUUGAGCUACCAUACAGUUUAGCAAUCCCAUUCCUAGUAUAUACCCAAAGAAAGGAAAUCAGGAUAUUGAAGAGGUAUCUGCACCUCCAUGUUUAUUGCAGCCCUAUUCACAAUAGCCAAGAUUUGGAAGCAACCUAAGUGUUCAUCAAGAGAUGAAUAAAUAAAGAAAAUAUGAUACUUACACAGAAUGGAGUACUAUUCAGCCAUAAAAAGAAUGAGAUCCUGUAAUUUGCGACAACAUGGAUGGGACUGGAGGUCACUAUGCUAAGUGAAUUGAGCCAGGCACAGAAAGACAAACAUCACAUGUUCUCACUUAUUUGUGGGAGCUAUAAAUCAAAGCAAUUGAACUAAUGGAGACAGAGAGUAGAAUGAUGGUUACCAGAGGCUGGGAAGGAUAGUGGGUGAGUUGGGGAGGUGGGGAUGGUUAAUAGGUAACAAAAAAAUUAGUUCAAAAGAAUGAAUAAGAUCUAGUAUUUGGUAUCACAACAGGGUAAAUAUAGUCAAUAAUAAUUUAGCUGUACAUUUUAAAAUAACUAAAAGAGUAUAAUUGGAUUGUUUGUAAUACAAAGGAUAAAUAUUGAGGGAUGGAUAUCAUAUUUCCCGUGAUAUGAUUAUUACGCAUUGCAUGCCUGUAUCAAAACAGCUCAUGUACCCCUUAAAUAAAUAUACCUACUAUGUACCCAGAAACAUUAAAAAUAAGAGGUUUUUUAAAAAAUAAA
rnacentral:lncRNA from 1 species